rnacentral:rRNA from 1 species
UACAGAGGUCCCAAGCGUUGUUCGGAUUCAUUGGGCGUAAAGGGUGUGUAGGUGGCGCGCUAAGUCGGGUGUGAAAUUUCGGAGCUUAACUCCGAAACUGCAUUCGAUACUGGCGUGCUUGAGGACUGGAGAGGAGACUGGAAUUCCUGGUGUAGCGGUGAAAUGCGCAGAUAUCAGGAGGAACACCAAUGGCGAAGGCAGCUCGCUGGGACGUGACUGACGCUGAGACGCGAAAGCGUGGGGAGCAAACAGG